GGCUGAAGCACCUCUUUCAUUCUCUCAGUCUUUUUCAUUUCUCUUUCUUCUUCUGUGCACACAUAUCCAAGUUACUAUUUUUGGAUUAUUAUUCAUAACCCUAAAAAAUGUACUUUUCAAUCCCAAACCCUAUCCAAUCAUGCCCAAAUCAACUCUAAACCCUUUCCUACCAAUUGGCCUUCAAUUUAACAAAUUAUUCACUUCUUUGGCCAAGGGGUCUUGUCCUGUCUAGAAGUUACAAGGAUUUUCCCCCCUUUUGGGUGUGUGUGUUCAUGCACAUGCACUUGUUGCAUUUGCCCUUCAGCAAUAAACUUUUUACUUAGUAAUAAUGACGAGGGAACAACACCACUAUUCUCAUAUCAUAAGGCCUUGAACCUAGUAGUUGCAAGUUUAUAACUUUGUUGUGUUUCAUUUGGUGUCUAUUUUUGUUAUAAACCAUUGGAGAAUUUUUUUUUUGGAUAAUCUUUUCUAUAGAACUUAUUUCUGAUUACUAUAUGUGCUUAUUUUGGUCACAGAAAUUUCUUUCAAAUGCUAUUGUAUAGAUAUACGUUGUGACUUAUUAAAUUCAUUCUUGUAGCAUUCUUUCAGCAGAAUUUAUGCGUACAUCUAUACAUGGUGUUCGCAAUAUGGAUGCGGUAAUAUUGUCAAAAAUAAAAGCAAGGGCAAGCCUACCCAAAAAUGGUGAAGAGAAUGAAGUUAAAUUGGAUGAAGAAGAAACAUCCAUUUUUCGAGAUCAAAUUCUACCUCUUACAAUUGGAUUGCUGAGAACAG